rnacentral:rRNA from 1 species
GAAACCAACAGGGAUUGCCUCAGUAGCGGCGAGUGAAGCGGCAAGAGCUCAGAUUUGAAAUCGUGCUUUGCGGCACGAGUUGUAGAUUGCAGGUUGGAGUCUGUGUGGAAGGCGGUGUCCAAGUCCCUUGGAACAGGGCGCCCAGGAGGGUGAGAGCCCCGUGGGAUGCCGGCGGAAGCAGUGAGGCCCUUCUGACGAGUCGAGUUGUUUGGGAAUGCAGCUCCAAGCGGGUGGUAAAUUCCAUCUAAGGCUAAAUACUGGCGAGAGACCGAUAGCGAACAAGUACUGUGAAGGAAAGAUGAAAAGCACUUUGAAAAGAGAGUGAAACAGCACGUGAAAUUGUUGAAAGGGAAGGGUAUUGCGCCCGACAUGGGGAUUGCGCACCGCUGCCUCUCGUGGGCGGCGCUCUGGGCUUUCCCUGGGCCAGCAUCGGUUCUUGCUGCAGGAGAAGGGGUUCUGGAACGUGGCUCUUCGGAGUGUUAUAG